UAAAGCUAAUAAGAGCGCAGGGCGGAUGCCUUGGCAUUGGGAGCCGAUGAAGGACGUGGUUAACUGCGAUAAGCUGCGGGGAGUUGUAAGCGAGCGAUAUUAUCCGCAGAUUUCCGAAUGGAGCAAUCCGUAUGAUUAAUCAUCAUACAUCAUAUACUGAAUACAUAGGUAUAUGAGGGGAACCGCCUGAACUGAAACAUCUAAGUAGGGCGAGGAAAAGAAAUCAACUGAGAUUUCGUAAGUAGUGGCGAGCGAACGCGAAAUAGGCCAAACCGAUAGUAGAAAUACUAACGGGGUUGUGGACUGUAUAAGGCAUGAUGUAACCUAGAAGAAGUGUAUGGGAAGACACGCCGAAGAAUGUGAAAGCCAUGUAUUCGAAAGGUGAAAACAGCCGACAGAAUCCAGAGUACCGCGGGACACGAGGAAUCCUGUGGGAAGCCGGGGGGACCACCCUCCAAGCCUAAAUACUACCCAAUGACCGAUAGCGAAAAGUACUGUGAAGGAAAGGUGAAAAGAACCCCGGGAGGGGAGUGAAAGAGAACCUGAAACCCUGUGCUUACAAGCACCUAGAGCACGUCAAAGUGUGAUAGGGUACCUAUUGUAGAAUGGUCCGGCGAGUUAUCGUAUUUAGCGAGGUUAAGGGCUUAAGGCCUGAAGCCGUAGGGAAGCCGAGUCUGAAAAGGGCGAAAUAGUUAGAUGCGAUAGACCCGAAACCGAGUGACCUAGCCAUGUCCAGGUUGAAGUGGAGGUAAAACUCCAUGGAGGACCGAACCGACCCCCGUUGAAAAGGUGGCGGAUGAGGUGUGGCUAGCGGAGAAAUUCCAAUCGAACUCGGAUAUAGCUGGUUCUCCCCGAAAUAGCUUUAGGGCUAGCGUUGUACAUGAUUAUUGGAGGUAAAGCACUGAAUGGGCUAGGGGCCGAGAGGUUACUGAACCUUAUCAAACUAAGAAUGCCAAUUAAUAUAGAGUACAGCAGUCAGACUAUGAGAGAUAAGUUUCAUAGUCGAAAGGGAAAGAGCCCAGACCCACAGCUAAGGUCCCAAAAUAGGUUUAAGUGGAGAAGGAUGUGGGGUUGCAUAGACAACCAGGAUGUUGGCUUAGAAGCAGCCAUACAUUAAAAGAGUGCGUAAUAGCUCACUGGUCGAGUGACCCUGCGCCGAAAAUUCAACGGGGCUAAAACCUAUACCGAAGCUUGGGCUUGAUACUAAAGUAUCAGGGGUAGGGGAGCGUCGUAUAAGGGGUGAAGUCAUAGCGUAAGCGAUGGUGGACUUUAUACGAGUGAGAAUGCCGGAAUGAGUAGCGAGAAUUAUGUGAGAAUCAUAAUGGCCGAAAAUCUAAGGAUUUAGGAGGAAGGUUCGUCCGCUCCUAGUAAGCCGGGAGCUAAGGUGAGGCGGAAACGCGUAGCCGAUGCACAUACGGUAGAAAUUCCGUAGCCUCCGAAAUAUUUAAGCACAAUGACACUUUGAAAGGGUUUAGCCGGGCGAUGGUUGCCCCGGUCGUAAGGGACUGAAAAUGUUCGGGAAGUAAACUUGGACGAAGGCGAGAAAAGUUGUGUGUAUAUAUGAGGAGCCCGUACCGCAAACCGACACAGGUAGAUAGGAAGAGGAUUCUAAGGCCAACGGGAGAAGGGUUGUUAAGGAACUCGGCAAAUUGACCCCGUAACUUUGGGAGAAGGGGUGCUCUAGAGAUAGAGCCGCAGAGAAUAGGUCCAAGCGACUGUUUAGCAAAAACACAGCUCUAUGCUAAAUCGAAAGAUGACGUAUAUGGGGUGACACCUGCCCGGUGCUGGAAGGUUAAGAGGAGGAGUGAGAGCUCUGAAUUGAAGCCCCAGUAAACGGCGGCCGUAACUAUAACGGUCCUAAGGUAGCGAAAUUCCUUGUCAGGUAAGUUCUGACCCGCACGAAUGGUGUAACGAUUUGGACACUGUCUCAACAGCCCGCCCGGCGAAAUUGUAGUACCGGUGAAGAUGCCGGUUA
rnacentral:rRNA from 1 species